rnacentral:rRNA from 1 species
UACGUAGGGUGCGAGCGUUGUCCGGAUUUAUUGGGCGUAAAGAGCUCGUAGGCGGCUUGUCGCGUCGGAUGUGAAAGCCCGGGGCUUAACUCCGGGUCUGCAUUCGAUACGGGCAGGCUAGAGUGUGGUAGGGGAGAUCGGAAUUCCUGGUGUAGCGGUGAAAUGCGCAGAUAUCAGGAGGAACACCGGUGGCGAAGGCGGAUCUCUGGGCAGUAACUGACGCUGAGGAGCGAAAGCGUGGGGAGCGAACAGG